CUACGGGUUGCUGCAGUGGGGAAUAUUGCACAAUGGGGGGAACCCUGAUGCAGCAACGCCGCGUGGAGGAUGACACAUUUCGGUGCGUAAACUCCUUUUAUAUAAGAAGAUAAUGACGGUAUUAUAUGAAUAAGCACCGGCUAACUCCGUGCCAGCAGCCGCGGUAAUACGGGGGGUGCAAGCGUUACUCGGAAUCACUGGGCGUAAAGAGCAUGUAGGCUGGUUUGUAAGUUGGAAGUGAAAUCCUAUGGCUUAACCAUAGAACUGCUUCCAAAACUACUUACCUAGAGUAUGGGAGAGGUAGAUGGAAUUUCUGGUGUAGGGGUAAAAUCCGUAGAGAUCAGAAGGAAUACCGAUUGCGAAGGCGAUCUACUGGAACAUUACUGACGCUCAGAUGCGAAAGCGUGGGGAGCAAACAGGAUUAGAUACCCGGGUAGUC
rnacentral:rRNA from 1 species